rnacentral:rRNA from 1 species
UGUACCCUACGGGGGGCAGCAGUGAGGAAUAUUGGUCAAUGGGCGCGAGCCUGAACCAGCCAAGUCGCGUGAGGGAAGACGGUCCUAUGGAUUGUAAACCUCUUUUGUCGGGGAGCAAAGGACGCCACGCGUGGCGUUCCGAGAGUACCCGAAGAAAAAGCAUCGGCUAACUCCGUGCCAGCAGCCGUGGUAAUACGGAGGAUGCGAGCGUUAUCCGGAUUUAUUGGGUUUAAAGGGUGCGCAGGCGGAAGAUCAAGUCAGCGGUAAAAUUGAGAGGCUCAACCUCUUCGAGCCGUUGAAACUGG